CAACCCCAGAUAAUCCAAUAAACUUGUAGUCAAUCAAGUAAAACCAGGUAAAAUCGAUAGGGUCAUUAGAUUUAACAUAUUAUAUUUCUUAUUAUUUCCCAAAAUACCAUAAUAAAACUUACAUAUAAUUAUUAAGAAAUGAAUUAUCUUUCAAAUGGUAUAAUUCUUAAUAAAAUCUGAAAAAAAUAAAGAUGAUCGAUAAUUAGUUAAAAAUCAAUUAUUGGUAAUUAUCGAUCAAUCUUCACACCUCGGCGCGGGUCAAUAGACAAGGGCAAUGGUUUAUGACAGUGUGUGUUUUCACAUCCAAUUGCGACAGGCUAAUAAUUCAUGAAUAUUCAUGAAGUGAUAUUAUCCAAUCACAGAAAAGAAAGGGCUACGUAAUGGCGUUUGUUUGAGAAAAAUCGGCCGGAAGCUAUUUGUUCAAAAAAUCGUCAAAGUUCACCUAUUCUUACAGAAAAACUACAAGGUUGUGCAAUAUAUAUAUUGACAUCCUAAUGAUGACUUAAACAUCAACUUGAAAUGGCAGGACAGUACCCUGGCCCAUUUUGUGAGGAAGCUGGACUUCUGUAAGCAAAUCUUAUCCACAAUGUGAUAGAACCAAAACCUGAAGGAACCCUCAAACAUGGCCAUAUUAUUGAGCUGAAGAAGUUUGCUGAUGCAUCAAAACUCCCUCUAACCAAUCUCAUUACCUGGCUAAAUCAAACUGACAAAAAGACAUGUGAAAUUAAACAAGCCACGCUGUCUGUCCGCAUCAAACGUGUUAUUGAAACAAACAAAAAGUUGCUACACAA
rnacentral:lncRNA from 1 species